rnacentral:misc_RNA from 1 species
GAUGAAGAACGCAGCGAAAUGCGAUAAGUAAUGCGAAUUGCAGAAUUUCCGUGAGUCAUCGAAUCUUUGAACGCACAUUGCGCCCCUUGGUAUUCCAUGGGGCAUGCCUGUUCGAGCGUCAUUUGUACCCUCAAGCUUUGCUUGGUGUUGGGUGUUUGUCCUCUCCUCUGCGUUUGGACUCGCCUUAAAACAAUUGGCAGCCAGUAUUUUGGUAAUGAAGCGCAGCACAUUUUGCGAUUCUAGCCUAUAGUACUUGCGUCCACAAGCCUUUUUUAACUUUUGACCUCGGAUCAGGUAGGGAUACCCGCUGAACUUAAGCAUAUCAAUAAGCGGAGGA